rnacentral:lncRNA from 1 species
UGAUGGGUGGGUCUUGAAAAUAUUAGGUCCUUGUCCCUCUCAACUCCCAUAAAUUGAGCCGCAUUGACUUCCACUUAUGAAACAAAGCGAGGGAUUUGGAUCCUCGCCGGAUCCCCUUGUUGGGGAUCUUAAAGAUCAACGAAUACAACCAUUGAUAAAAAAUUAUGUGGCCACAAUUUUUUCCUUUUUUAUAUUUUUCACGCAAAACGAUGUUGUUUUACUUUUAAAAAUAUAAAAAAUAUUUAAUUGGGACCGCACAAUUUUUGAUCAAUGGUUCGUGUUCGUUGAUCCCUAGGAUCCCUAGGGAGGGGAUCCAGCGAAGAUCCAAAUCCCAAAGCGAGGCCUUGCAGAGUUAGAACCCCUUGGACGUUGGAGGUUGACAUGAGACUUGCAGUCCUAAAGAUGAGCAAAUAACCCACUGUGCUUAGGGUUGAUUUGAUAUUGCUGUGCUUUGAAAAAAAAAACUGCUUCUGCUGUGCUGUGAGAAUAAACUCAUUUUAGCUGCUUCACGUUUACAACUUUUUUUUACCCAAAACAGUGAAAAUAAGCUAUUUUUAAGAGUUUACCAAACACUUUUUUGAACUCAGUUUUUUUUUUAUACCCUUUUUUUUUAAUAAAAGUACAUUGAUAUCAAAUCAGUACUUACUCCAUCAAGGCCUGGGUAACCGCUUCGAAGAACAGGGCUUGAUAACAAUUUUUUUUUUUGGGAACUUUAACGAAAAGCCCCCGGUACUGUUCACUUUAACGAAAAACCACAUUUUUACACUAAAAAAUCAAUCCUGAUACUAUUCACUUUAUCCUUUAUUUUGUCCUUAUCAUUAAAACUCAAAGUUUCCAAACCCUUUUAAUUAGUUUUCUUUUUUUUUUGGCAAACGUGGAUUAAAUUAUUAAUUAUUAUGAAGGAAAGAGAUUAGUGGAGAUUGAACUUGUAAUAGAAUGCAUGCGCAUAAGUGCCCGCUACUGCAGUAAAACAUCAUUUAUAUUUGUUUUCAUUUUUUAACUAUUAUUUUUUUUGUCCUAUAAAUAAAAGAAAUAUAUAUGAGAUAAAUGAGUAAAAAUGAAAGAAAUGUGAAAGGUAUAACAAACAAAAUGAAAACUAAAACCGACAACAAUUUGAAAACAAAUUCAAAUUCAAACAUUGAAGCACUCUAGCAAUUCAGAUAUUGCUUGAAAGAAAAUUCAUACACUGGAGCACUCAAGCAUUCCAAUGGAGUGAUGGACUGCAAUUCAGAUACAAUUUGAAACAUGAAAUUGAGUAACCUCUGAAUUUUGAACACUUAUGUAAAAGCAGGUCAAUUUGAAAACUAAUGUCGCGUUUACUAAUCCGUAAUCAAAUUGAGAGGAAUUGGAUUGAGGGGGAAUUGGAUUGAGGAGGAAUUGAAAUGAGGUGGAAUCAGAAUCUGAUUCCUGUUGAAGUUGUUUACUAAAAUUGUCAGAAAUCGGAGUAGGAAUGAUGUUGAGUCCAUAUAAGUUGUUUACUAAUUCAUUUCAAUCGGAAUGAAAACUAGGUUGAUUACUAUAUUGCCCUUACAUAAAUAAAUUAUUUUCAUACUAAUUAAUUAAAUUAAAUUCUUAAUUAAAUGUAUAUAAUAAAAUUCAUCUAUAUAAGCAUGUAUAAAUAGGUUUUAUUUAUUUAUUAAAAGAUGGCAAGAAUGAUGUUGAGUCUAUAUAAGUUGUUUACUAAUUCACUUAAAUCGGAAUGAAAACUAAGUUGAUGACUAAAUUGCCCUUACAUAAAUAAAUUAUUUUCAUACUAAUUAAUUAAAUUAAAUUCUUAAUUAAAUUUAUAUAAUAAAAUUAUCUAUAUAAAAAUAUAUAAAUAGGUUUUAUUUAUUUAUUAAAAAUGAUAUAAU